AGCGGGAUCGCGCAUGCUCGCUGCGCGCAGCCUCGUCCCCCAGCGUGCCCUCGCGCGCUUCCUCUCGCCCGCUCUGCUCCUUUUUAGUGACUCCGGGGCACGCGCAGCGUUCGCGCGGCGAUUGGCUGCCUCGGUGGCGGCGCCACAGGCCCGAGGAACUACGCGAGCGGAGUGGGCGCUUCAGGAUCCCGCGGCUCCUCAGUGUCGGCGGCGGAGGCAGCGGUGACGGCAGUGACCACUGAGCAGUAGUUGCCCAAGAUGUCGAAUAUCAAAAUCUUCAGCGGGAGCUCGCACCAGGACUUAUCCCAGAAAAUAGCUGACCGUCUGGGCUUGGAGCUAGGCAAGGUGGUGACUAAGAAAUUCAGCAACCAGGAGACCUGUGUGGAAAUUGGGGAAAGUGUUCGUGGAGAGGAUGUCUACAUUGUUCAGAGUGGGUGUGGUGAGAUAAAUGACAAUCUAAUGGAGCUUUUGAUCAUGAUUAAUGCUUGCAAGAUUGCUUCAGCCAGCAGGGUUACUGCAGUCAUCCCAUGCUUCCCUUAUGCCCGCCAAGAUAAGAAGGAUAAGAGCCGGGCUCCAAUCUCAGCUAAGCUUGUUGCAAAUAUGCUCUCUGUAGCAGGUGCAGAUCAUAUUAUCACCAUGGAUCUACAUGCAUCUCAAAUUCAGGGUUUCUUUGAUAUCCCGGUGGACAAUUUAUAUGCAGAGCCAGCUGUCCUAAAGUGGAUACGGGAGAAUAUAUCUGAGUGGAGAAACUGUACUAUUGUCUCACCCGAUGCUGGUGGAGCCAAGAGAGUGACCUCCAUUGCAGACCGGUUGAAUGUGGAUUUUGCUUUGAUUCACAAGGAACGGAAGAAGGCCAAUGAAGUAGACCGCAUGGUACUAGUAGGAGAUGUGAAGGAUCGUGUGGCUAUACUUGUGGAUGACAUGGCUGACACUUGUGGUACAAUUUGUCAUGCUGCUGACAAACUUCUCUCAGCUGGAGCUACCAGAGUUUAUGCUAUCUUGACGCAUGGAAUCUUUUCUGGUCCUGCCAUUUCUCGCAUCAACAAUGCAUGCUUUGAAGCAGUAGUAGUUACUAAUACCAUACCUCAGGAAGACAAGAUGAAACACUGCUCCAAAAUACAAGUGAUUGACAUCUCUAUGAUCCUUGCAGAAGCUAUCAGGAGAACCCACAAUGGAGAAUCUGUCUCCUACCUGUUCAGCCAUGUUCCUUUAUAAUAUAACUUCUGAAGCAUUUUGAAAAUAAUACCAAACCCACCCCUUGUUUUUCUUGGUAUUGGUGAGUUCAGCAGAAAACCCAGUAACUUCAGUAUAGCUUUUUACAUCUCACAUUAGCUAUAUUUGAAUUUAUCCUAAAUUGGAGAAAGACAGAUUGUUAUUAACUGCCAGGAUGCCCUACCUACCUGCAUUGUUGGAUCCUGGCUUUCUUGUUUAUUUUAUUAGCCUUGCAGCUUUAAGUUGCGCUCAGCUUUUGAGAGAUGUAUAGACUAUUAAGAGAAUAUUCCACAAGGUCCUUAGGACAUGAUUGACAAAGCUUAUACUCCAUUGCAUGUGAAUGCUUUGGGUUGUUUUUGUUUUUUUUUCAUUCAGAAUAACUAGCAACAAAGCUAGCCCAUAAGUAAUACGUAUUCAGAGGUCUACAGUAAGAACCCUGAGCAUCCUUAAACAUAGUUCAGCAGUUGAGCAUCCUGUAAGGCAGGGGCAGGUAACUCAAUGCAGUAAUUAAUUUUUGGAA